rnacentral:rRNA from 1 species
CUUACACCUGAAAAAUGUCUGCUAACCCCAGAUCGUCUUGAUGCCAAAUUCUAGCCCAAUCRACACRACACARAAUAACCAAACUACUACUCAAACCCAACUAAAGCAUUUACUAGUCCUAGUAUAGGCGAUAGAAAAGACACCAUUGGAGCGAUAGAGAUAACGUACCGUAAGGGAAAGAUGAAAUACUAAUGAACAAACCUAAGCUAUAAACAGCAAAGAUCAGCCCUUGUACCUUUUGCAUCAUGGUCUAGCAAGAAAAACCAAGCAAAAUGAAUUUAAGUUUGCCACCCCGAAACCCAAGCGAGCUACCUGYGAGCAGCUAUUGUUGAGCGAACCCGUCUCUGUGGCAAAAGAGUGGGAUGACUUGCUGGUAGAGGUGAAAAGCCAAUCGAGCUGGGUGAUAGCUGGUUGCCUGUGAAACGAAUCUUAGUUCACUCUUAAUUCUUCUCCAAGGAACCCAAGAACCCUAAUGAAGCGAAUUAAGGGCUAUUUAAAGGAGGUACAGCUCCUUUAAAAAAGARUACAAUCUCCACGAGCGGAUAAAUACUAACCCURACAUCACUGUGGGCCCUYAAGCAGCCAUCAACAAAGAGUGCGUUAAAGCUCCGAYCCYAAAAAUAUAAAAACYUCAUGACUCCCUCCCCAUUAACRGGCYAACCUAUACCCAAAUAGGAGAAUUAAUGCUAGAAUGAGUAACCAGGGUUCUCCCUCUACGACGCAAGCUUACAUCCGCACAUUAUUAACAAACYACCAAUAUACGAYYAAUCAAACAAGCAGAGUAUUAAGCACAUUGUUAACCCGACAGAGGAGCGUCC